rnacentral:misc_RNA from 1 species
UACAGAGACCUCAAGCGUUAUCCGGAUUUAUUGGGCGUAAAGCGUAUGUAGGCGGUCUGGUUAGUCAGAUGUCAAAGACCGGGGCUCAACCCCGGAAAGGCAUUUGAAACGGUCAGACUAGAGAAUGUGAGAGAUGACUGGAAUUCAUGGUGUAGUAGUGAAAUGCGUUGAUAUCAUGAGGAACACUCAAGGCGAAGGCAAGUCAUUGGUGCAUUUCUGACGCUGAGAUACGAAAGCGUGGGGAGCGAAUGGG